rnacentral:ncRNA from 2 species
CUAAAUAAAUUAAACAAAAUUCGUAUAUGCCCAAAUAAUGAUGGCUUGGGUGUUUCUACAAGGAGCCAAAUCCUAACUACGAAUAUAUAGUAAAGUUAU